UGGGGAAUAUUGCACAAUGGAGGGAACUCUGAUGCAGCGACGCCGCGUGAGUGAUGAAGGAAUUCGUUUCGUAAAACUCUGUUCUAUGGGAAGAAAAGGACUGUACCAUAGGAGAAAGCUCCGGCUAAAUACGUGCCAGCAGCCGCGGUAAUACGUAUGGAGCGAGCGUUGUCCGGAAUUAUUGGGCGUAAAGGGUGCGCAGGCGGCUUUACAAGUUGGAUGUGAAAUAUUGUGGCUCAACCACAAACGUGCAUCCAAAACUGCAAAGCUUGAGUUAAGGAGAGGUAAGUGGAAUUCCUGGUGUAGCGGUGGAAUGCGUAGAUAUCAGGAGGAAUACCGGUGGCGAAGGCGACUUACUGGACUUAAACUGACGCUCAUGCACGAAAGCGUGGGGAGCAAACAGG
rnacentral:rRNA from 1 species